rnacentral:misc_RNA from 1 species
GUGGGUAAACGGGUUCGGCUUUGUGGGUGGGUCGCUCUUCAUCGGAUUCAUGGGGGUCUCACUUUCGUUAACCUUAGAGACCAAACUGGAAUUGUUCAGAUUACUACACUUCCUGAUGAUUUUCCUGAUGCUCAUUCUACUGUGAGAGAUCUGAGACUCGAAUAUGUGGUUGCCAUUGAAGGUGUUGUUCGGCCUAGGCCAGCUGAGUCUGUCAACAAAAAGAUGAAAACUGGCACGAUAGAGGUUGCUGCAGAGGAUGUGCAGGUGUUGAAUGCAGUAAGAUUGAAGUUGCCCUUCUUGGUAACAACAGCAGAUGAUGCAAAAGAUUCAUCUAAAGAAGAAAUCAGAUUGCGGUAUCGAUGCCUUGAUUUACGCCGUCCGCAGAUGAGCUCAAAUAUAAUCUUGCGACAUAGAGUAGUGAAGCUUCUUCGAAGAUACCUAGAAGAUGUGCAUGAUUUUGUUGAGAUUGAGACACCAAUACUAUCUAGAUCUACUCCUGAAGGUGCUCGUGAUUAUUUGGUUCCUUCAAGAGUCCAGCCAGGAACAUUUUAUGCACUACCCCAGAGUCCACAGCUGUUCAAGCAAAUGCUGAUGGUCUCCGGAUUUGAUAAAUACUAUCAAAUAGCAAGGUGCUUUAGGGAUGAAGAUUUGAGAGCCGACAGACAACCCGAGUUUACACAGCUAGAUAUGGAAAUGGCUUUCACUUCUAUGGAGGACAUGCUGAAGCUCAAUGAGGAUUUGAUUAGAAAGGUCUUUCAGGAAAUUCAAGGUGUCCAACUGCCAAACCCUUUCCCAAGGCUU